rnacentral:lncRNA from 1 species
AAAUAUCCUAGCUGCGGUAACCUUGAUCUUAAUCGAAAAUUCGUGAUAAGCUUGGCCGGAGUCUAUAAAUUGGAAGCACCCCCUGUUCCGCCUACUCGUUACGAACUCAGUGAACCACUCCUCGCCCCCGAUUACCCACCGUAGCACCCUAAUUUGGAAUUUCCCCCAAAUCCGUUCUCCGCACCGCCGUGAGCACCCCCUCCGUCGACCCACCAUCCUGUCCCUCCACCCGCCUUCCUAGCUGCCGUUCUUGAGCCUUGGUACGAUGCUAAAGCUUACCGUGCUCCCAAUUUGUAUGUCGGGAACACGUCGGGAAAGUCUCAAGCUCUGCUGGUGUACGUGGACCGAGCUCUAGGAUGGUGUUCGGGUUAAAUUAGUGAUUCCCAGUGAAUCGCCAAGGUCAGAAUUAGGUGUAGACCGAAUUAGAGCAUGAAUUAUUGAGUAUGAUGGCCGAUACAAGUUCGCCGGAGCGCUCACGCCGCCGUCCGUGGUCGGGGACCCGAUCUUGUGAAGAAGAGAAAAGGUAGGGUUCGGUGCACUUGUCAGAGACACAAGGGAAUAGUGACUAAGGAUUCUUUACGGGUUUUUCGAAUCGCUAGGGACCACUACACAAAAUCAUCAGCGCGGGCGCGCGUGGGCGUGUUUCGCCUGGUCGUGGGCCAGAUCGGGCUAGUUUCGGCGUAGUACUAUUCAUUCUUUUCUUUUUUCCUUUUUCUGCUAGGCUUGGAAAAUUGUAGGAAAUUAUAGAAAAAUGGUAAAAUUAUGGGACCAAUUUUGCUAGACUCCUAAAUUCAUCUAGUAUUUAAUAAAAAUAGUUCCAAGAUUUUUAGUCCAAACCUGAAUUUUUUUGGAAUUUAAAGAUGCCUAAACCUAGCCUUUUAGAAUUUUAGAAUUAAUUUGGUAGCUCCAAAAAUUAUAAAACUUUUUGGGUAAUCUUAGUUUAAGGAUUAAUGCCCUUGGGUAGAAUUUUACAUGCUUUGGACAUUGUUUGAUCCCAAACCUUGUUUGAUCCCAAACCUAAGGCACUAGCUUCCUAGGUUAUAAUUGCCUAACCCUAAUAGAGUACUAACCCAGGAAACUCUAGUGACUAGUGUGUACCGUGAAGAAAAGUUGUAUUCAAGAUACAACUUAUAUUUCUAGUAUAUACUUGCAUAUUUAUAGCAUCACAUAAGCAUUCAUGUAUAUGUAUUGUUAUGUAUAGAAAAUGAAGAAGUGGUAGUCGAAGAAGAAGUGAAAGGGAAAUAGGGUCAAACCUUUUCCUAAAUGAUUUUGGUGGUUGAAUUGCCCAACACAAAUAAUUGGACUAACUAGUUUGCUCUAGAUCAUACAUUCUACAGGUGCCAAAGGUUCAACAUAAACCAAUCAAAAGAACAAGUUAGACUUCAAAAGAAAGGAGCAAAAAGGAAACCAAAGUGUGCCCUGGUUUGGCGCACCGGACAGUGUCCGGUGCACCAGGGUGAAUCAGCUCAAACUCCUCAGCUUCGGGUUCUCCAGGCGCAGCUCCGCUAUAAUUCAGCGGACUGUCCGGUGUGCCACCAGACUGUCCGGUGCACCAGCGAGGCAACGGUUACCUGUGCGCAACGGUCGACUCUACAAAGUGAACAGUGCAAUUCAGAUGUCAGAGCAGAUGGUCAGAGGGGCACCGGACUAUCCGGUGUAGCAUCGGACUGUCCGGUGCCACAUGAGGACAAAGCCUCCAACGGUCGACCAGCUCCAAGCCCUAACGGGAGGAUGACGUGGCGGCGCACCGGACACGCCCAUCGCCAGCAGACUUCUCCAACGGCUACAAUUUGGUUGGUGGCUAUAAAUACCACCCCAACCAGCCACUUCAAGGUGAGGGAGCCCAAGCAACAUUCCAAGUCAUCUAGUUGACAUAUUCAAGCCCUCCCAACCACCUCUAUUCAUUGAUCCAUCAUAUACACAAGAUUUAGACCACUACAACCAACACAAGUGCCACAAAAGAGAGAGCAAGCAAGAGAGGGCUACUCAUUUGAGUUUAGCACUAGUUCCUUGUGAUAUUCAUUGAGAGAUAGUGUGUGCUACAUCUUUGUGUUCAUUUGCGCGUGGAGUUUUGACUCCCAUUGAACUUCCUCCAAAGUUUUGGAGGCUUGUAAAGCUAGCAAGAGACACCAUAGAGUGUGGUGAUCCUUGCAGGGUAUUAAGUGGUCCUUGAGAAGAAGAAGAGCUCGCCGGUCUUUGGUGAUCGGUGGAGAGAGGGAAAGGGUUGAAAGAGACCCGUCCUUAGUGGACUCCUCAACGCGGACUAGGCCUUCGAGGGCCGAACCUCGGUAAAACAAAUCACCCGUGUCUCUUGUGCUUAUUGCUUGUGAUUUGUUUGUUCUUUCUCUUUCUAAGUUUUCUUGCACUAUUCUUUGCUAAUACUAUUUGGUGUUUAUUUAAGUUAAAUUCUCAUAUAGUGAAGCAACACAUCGCAAGAAAGAACUUGUGUUAUUGCUCUUCUUAUCUAAGCCUCCUUGCCUUAUUCUCAUAGACCUAUUAGUUGUAUUUAACAAUUCCACAUUAUUUGAAAGCAAUACUCUUUACAAGCAAGGACUUAGUUUUUAUACUCCGAUAAUUGUAUAUCUUGUUCUAACCACUAAUCAAGGGAUCUAGUUGGCGGAUAAAGUUUUAAUUUUCAGGUUUCGCCUAUUCACCCCCCCUUUAGGCGACUUUCAAUUGGUAUCAGAGCCAGGCACUUCAUAUUGAGUCUAACAACUCGAAGUGAUGGCUCGAGGAAGAUCCCAAAAGAACAAGAAGACACCUCCGAAGAAAAUCAAGGAGGUAACUCUUGAGAUUUUACUUGAUGAUUGUUCUAAUUAUGCUUCAUGGUCUACUAGUGUGAUAAAAGCUUUUAGAACCAUAGAUUCACGAUUAGAACAAAUUUUAGACAAGAGUAUCAUACCCUCCAGCUAUAAUGAUAAAAAUAUUUCUGAGGAAGAUCAAAGAUGUAUACGCUUAAACUAUCUAGCUUUUGACAUCCUAGUUAAUUCUCUUAGCAAGGAAGAUUAUCAUGCCUUCAUAAUGAAUCAUUAUGAACAUAUUCCUGAUGCACAUGAUAUUUGGACUAGAAUUAAAAUCAAAUUUGAUGAGUCCAAACAUGAUAGUUCAUUUUGUGCUUCUGCUUCCUUUGGUCUUUGUGAUACUAACCCUUGCAAGGAAGAAGAAGAAAAUGACCGAUGGAAACCAAACGAUGAAUCCACCUCUCCAAAAGGUUUGUCUUCCCAUUUCGAUUCCCACAUAUGUUGUGUGGCUAAUGAAAAUGAUAGCGGAAGCACAAACGAGGAUGAGGAGGAAGAAAAAAGCUUCAUGUAACUCUACGCUCGCCUAAGCCAAGAAGAUAAGGCGGUCAUACUCAAACUUCUAGAAAGAGCGAGAGAACAAAGCGAAGCUCGUCAAAGGCUAGAAAAUGUUCUCUCCAUGAAAAUGCUACACUUUGACGAGUUGACUAAAGAACAUAAAGAGCUAAAGUGCUCUCAUGUUGAUUUGGUCCAAAGGUAUGAAACUAUUUCAAUUGAGCAAGAUAAAGCUUUACAUUGUAUCGCUCAAUUAGUAAAUAGGAAUGCCUUGCUUAAGGACCAAGUAGAAAAACUAAAAGAUGAAAAUCUAGCUUUUCAAGAAAAAUAUGAUAUGCUCCUAUGUUCUCAUGAAAAUCUUAUGGAUGAUCAUAUCAUAUUAAAUAUUACUCAUGAGGUUGUGAUAGAAAACUUAAAAUCCCAACAACCUCACUCAUGCACAUGUAUUCAAAUUGAAACUACAUUACCACGUGCUAAUGCUUGUUGUCCAUCGACAAGUAAAUCUUCCUUUGAGCUAGGAUUUGCAGGAACAAACGAUGAUACAUAUCAAAAGCUCAAAGAAGAAAAUGAAAGGCUAAAAAUGAGCUUGACACAACUAAAAGGGAAGUACAUUGCUCAACCUUCUCAAGAUAACCGUGAUCACAUGGUGAAGAAGCUUGAGACGGGAACAACCGUGGCAUGCACUAAAUCCCUUGAAGAAAAUGUCAAGGACUUGAGGAUUGCCAAGAGGAGGGAACAAAAGAAGAAAAUCAAUACCUCUUCCAAAAACCUCAACCAUGCCUCCAUAAAAGGUAACAACCAAGGUAAUAAUCAAGUCACACUUCACACUAAGAGAAGUAAGAAGUGUAGUGAAUGUUUUGAAAAGGGGCACUCGAUUAGGUCAUGUCCCUAUAUUAAAAAUGACUUGAUUAUUAACAAGGAUGAUAAACUUUGUUUUAAAUGCUCCAAGAAGGGACACUUGUUUAGGUCUUGUCGCCAUUUAAAACAAAAAGGCAUAGUGUUAGAAAAGAAAAUAUUCGCUAACCAUGUAGCAAGAAAGAAACAAGGAAAGAAGAAAUCUUCAAGACUUGAGGAUCGCCUAUGCUACAUAUGCCGAAAGAAGGGACAUCAAUGCAAGGAUUGUCCCAUUGGUAACAAUCCCACUCCUAGCUUGUCAAUUAAUUCUCAUGUAACUAGGCAACCCAAAAUUGCAACUUGUGCUAGAAAGGUAAUGAGUUUACCUAGUGCUAGCACAAAGGACGUUUGGGUUCCUAGAUCUUUGUUGACUAACCUUGAUGGACCCAUCAAGAGAUGGGUACCAAAAUAUGCUUGACAAGCUUUGCAGGAGAUGAUAUGAAGCUUUGGGGUGCUUGAGAGAGUCAAUUCAAUUCUUGUUAACUCAAGCUAUCAAUCUUCAAUGAUCUAUAUCCAUGAUUGACCUAAGGUUAUUUUUCAAAUUACUAUGUCUUAAACUCAUAUCAUCUCGGGGAAAGUAUUGAUGUUGUAGGAAAUAAAGAAUCAUCCUGUGCGAAAACAACAAGGCCUACAACGUGGAGGAAAGCCAAAGGAUGAAAUUCCUCUCAUAUGGUAGAUUGUAUAUUCAUCAUUUCUAUACCAUGGCAAUCUACAUGCUUUAAAUUGUUGUAAGUAUCUCAUGGCAUGCUUUACACUAAUCAUCCUAUUAUUGCCAUUUUCUAGAUAUAGAGAGAUAUUCCAUGUUCUUAAAAGAAUAAGGUGUCACGUAAGGAAUUCAAUUCCUUAGGACACUUAUAAAGGGAAUCUCUGUUUAUAUCUGGAAAUCGUGGGACUAAUGUUUUUGUCUAAAUAACCUAAGUAGUCUCACAUGUAGAGAAUAAGUUUCUCUUUGGAGAUGCGCAAUCUAACAUGAAAAGAAAAGUCAAUACAAUGGUUUAUGUUGUUUUGCCUCUUGCUUAAGUUGGAUAUGAUUCUUCUAUAUUUAUCGCUCUCCAUGUUAUGAAUUAGAUUUAUUCCCAUAAUCUUAAAGAAUUAUCUAUGCUUGUUUUGUAAGCAAAAUUAAGCAUACAUCAUGGAAUAACCUAGUUCAUAUUAUAAAGUUUCCAUGCUUUAGUAAUCUAUUUUCCAUUCCUUAUCAAAAUGAUUACACAAAGGGAAACUAGUGCUUGUGUUACUAAUGACAUAUCUCUUGAGCUUACUUAUGAAAAUCUACAAGAGAGGAAGUGCAAACCGCAAGCCACAAGGGUUACUCUUCACCCAAAGGAAGAAAGGUAAAAGCAAAGGUAUAGGAAUUUAUCUUAAUCAAAUAUAGUUCUCAUCAAUGGUUAUUUACUCUAAAUUCUACCUAUGAGAAGAAUAGAUUAUUUAUUGGACUUAAGUCAUCCAGAUAUAUAUUCAAUCUCAUUCUCUUAAAAUGCACUUGUCCAUUAGAAUCUAAUUCAUGCCUUUGCUAUCUCUGUUCUCAUAUUGAUAUGCUCUUAAAUCAUGAUAAUAAAUUCAAUAUGAAGAAGUAAAAUUCAUAUGAUUGAUCAAGAUAUUUAAAAAGUGUUUAUUCCUCCUUCUUAAUAAUGUGCACUAAUGUUAAGGAUCUUACUUCAUGUCUGUGUGGCUUGUGAAUGAUGAAUUGUUUAUAUUUCUUAUCUAAAAGAAAUCAUUCUUCAUCAUAUACUCCCUUGUGCUAUUAACAUCUCUCUUGAGUAUUUUCAAUAAGUUUGGAAGGAAAAAGAGUCAACUAUAAAGGGAGGACACUCAAAUGAAAAAUGAAGACAUCAAGAGCAACAACACCUACUUGGAUAAUGAGAUCUUCAAAACAAUCAUGGUGUGGUUGUAAGCAUUCUAAAUCUUUGUGAGAAUAACUAGGCAUAAGUUAUUUAUUGCAAAUCUUAUAAGCCUUGAUCAAGAUGAAUAAUGCUUCUCCCUAUUUGUCUUUAAAAGUAAGUCCAUUUCUUUCAAAACUUGAUGCAUGUCUUUAGGGGGAGCAUAUUGCUAUAUCUUGAUUAUAUUGAGACUAAUUCUUCAUCUUAGUAAUCUCACAUAGUCUCAAGUAUGAGAAUAAGUUUCUCAUGAAGUAUGCUUCUACAUUUCAAUCCUUCUUGGUAAAGUAAUGUCACCUUUAUCAAGGAUUGUAACUUUCAAUGUUAAAGUAGCAAAAUUACUGAAUUCUCCUGUUUUAAGCUUGUUUGAUAAUCUAAUGCCUAUGUUGUUCUUUUGAUCGCAUCUGUUGUUUGUUUGAUCAUUGAAUAACUUCAAUAAAACACUUAUGUUUCUUAGUGCCUCAUAAUUUCAAUCGAUGUCUCUCUUGAUGUGCACUAAGUUAAAAGGAGAAUUCAUGAUAUAUUUAUGCAAUCUGUGAUCUACUUGAUAUAUAAUAACAAUGACUUAAAAAGGAUCACUAGUUGUAGAACCCUCUUUUGUGCAAAAUAUUUCCAUACACUGUCUUGAAUAUAGGUCUUAAGUGACUAAGACUAAGGACAAAGCACAAUGAAGAGAGCGUCUCUAUGUGAAGGUACAAAAGGGUAAAACUACUUCCUCUCAUUUAUACAUGUACCGAAAUCUUCCUUUUCUAUACAUUGCUCGCUUAUCUUGUAUAAAAGGAAGAGAAAGCAUGUCUAGGUAAUAUCCCUGCUUCAUACCUAGUUCAACCUCUCAAAAAUUUUCAUUCUUGCAUUAAUGCACUUUUGUUGCAACUAGGUGAAGUGAUUUUAUUGUCAAAGAGCUUAAAGCUUAACCUUGUAACGAGGAUAAGCUACCUUUGUUCCAAAGGUGGAUGGUCCUUAAGCCUCUUUGAAAUCCGUAAGGGUAAAUGCUUGAUAUGUUUAUAACAUGCUUUCAUAAGUGCAUAAACUGUCAUGAGCACCACACUUAUACUAUGACACAAUGCACUCCACAUUCUCUAUGAUAUAGACAUGAUCUCAUUAACCUAACUAUGUGCACUUGGCUUUUAAGGCCAAAAUUUGAAUUCUCUCAAAGCAUGUAUUUAGGGGAGCAAUCUAUAUUAUAUAGAACUAUGAUUAUGCUUAAUUUGAUAUAUCCUUUGAUCAUAUCUCUUUUAUGUCUAAUGUGUUUUCAAGUAUAUUCUCAUGCUUAGUCAUAGAAUUGAAAGGAAAAUGGAGUAUUCGGCAAAGACGACGCUUCCACUCAACUCCAUCAGUGUUAUCCACUAUUUGCCGGUAUUCUGCAUAGCUCUCUAAUUUGGUAUAAUCUUCACUCAUAUAUUGUUUGCCAAAGGGGGAGAGAAAGUCAAAAGGCCUUAAAUUUCACUCACAAGUAUCCGUUUUUGGCGAUUCAUGCCAAAGGGGGAGAAAAGUAUUAGCCCAAAGCAAAAGGACCGCACCACCACCAAUUUCAAAAAUAUAGUCUUUCAAAUUUGGGUUAAGAAAAGAUUUUUCAUUUGGUAUCUUAUUUUUGAUAUAAUUUCAAAAUGGUAUACCCUCUUCAAAAUUAAAUAUCUAAAACCCUCUUGAACACUAAGAGGAGGAUUUCAUUAAGGGGGAGUUUUGUUUAGUCAAAGGAAAAGCAUUUGAAACAUGGGGAGAAAAUUUCAAAUCAUGAAAAUGCUUCUCAAAAUCUUAUUCAUUUACCUUUGACUAUGUGCAAAAGAUUUUGAAAAAGAAUUCCCAAAACAUUGCAAAACAAAACAAGUGGUGCAAGCGUAGUCCAAAAUUUUAAAUAAGAAGAAAGCAUCCAUGCAUAUCUUAUGAAAAGAAUAUUGGUUUAAUUCCAAGUAACCUUUGCACUUACCUUAUGCAAACCAGUUCAUUUUCGCACUUAUAUAAUUGCUUUGGUUUGUGUUGGCAUCAAUCACUAAAAAGGGGGAGAUUGAAAGGGAAAUAGGGUCAAACAUUUUCCUAAAUGAUUUUGGUGGUUGAAUUGCCCAACACAAAUAAUUGGACUAACUAGUUUGCUCUAGAUCAUACAUUCUACAGGUGCCAAAGGUUCAACACAAACCAAUCAAAAGAACAAGUUAGGCUUCAAAAGAAAGGAGCAAAAAGGAAACCGAAGUGUGCCCUGGUCUGGCUUACCGGACUGUCCGGUGUGCCACCGGACUGUGUCCGGUGCACCAGGGUGAAUCAGCUCAAACUCCUCAGCUUCGGGUUCUCCAGGCGCAGCUCCGCUAUAAUUCAGCGGACUGUCCGGUGUGCCACCGGACUGUCUGGUGCACCAACGAGGCAACGACUACCUGUGCGCAACGGUCGACUCUGCAAAGUGAACAGUGCAAUUCAGAUGUUAGAGCAGAUGGUCAGAGGGGCACCGGACUGUCCGGUGCCACAUGAGGACAAAGCCUCCAACGGUCGACCAGCUCCAAGCCCUAACGGGAGGAUGACGUGGCGGCGCACCGGACACUGUCCGGUGCGCCCAUCGCCAGCAGACUUCUCCAACGGCUACAAUUUGGUUGGUGGCUAUAAAUACCACCCCAACCAGCCACUUCAAGGUGAGGGAGCCCAAGCAACAUUCCAAGUCAUCUAGUUGACAUAUUCAAGCCCUCCAAACCACCUCUAUUCAUUGAUCCAUCCUAUACACAAGAUUUAGACCACUACAACCAACACAAGUGCCACAAAAGAGAGAGCAAGCAAGAGAGGGCUACUCAUUUGAGUUUAGCACUAGUGCCUUGUGAGAUUCAUUGAGAGAUAGUGUGUGCUACAUCUUUGUGUUCAUUUGCGCGUGGAGUUUUGACUCCCAUUGAACUUCCUCCAAAGUUUUGGAGGCUUGUAAAGCUAGCAAGAGACACUAAAGAGUGUGGUGAUCCUUGCGGGGUCUUAAGUGAUCCUUGAGAAGAAGAAGAGCUUGCCGGUCUUUGGUGAUCGGUGGAGAGAGGGAAAGGGUUGAAAUAGACCCAUCCUUAGUGGACUCCUCAACGGGGACUAGGCCUUCGAGGGCCGAACCUCGGUAAAACAAAUCACUCGUGUCUCGUGUGCUUAUUGCUUGUGAUUUGUUUGUUCUUUCCCUUUCUAAGUUUUCUUGCACUAUUCUUUGCUAAUACUAUUUGGUGUUGCUUUAAGUUAAAUUCUCAUAUAGUGAAGCAACACAUCGCAAGAAAGAACUUGUGUCAUUGCUCUUCUUAUCUAAGCCUCCUUGCCUUAUUCUCAUAGACCUAUUAGUUGUAUUUAUCAAUUCUGCAUUAUUUGAAAGCAAUACUCUUUACAAGCAAGGACUUAGUUUUUAUACUCCGAUAAUUGUAUAUCUUGUUCUAACCACUAAUCAAGGGAUCUAGUUGGGGGAUAUAGUUUUAAUUUUCAGGUUUCGCCUAUUCACCCCCCUCUAGGCGACUUUCAAGAAGUUGCCCCGCAAGCUGAAAUUCCACCUGUCGAGAACAACUUCUAUUUUGACAUCUGUGGGACAGACCCAGAACCUCCUGCAACACAAGGCAAGCCCAGUGCAUUUACCCCUUUCCUUGUUGUUUUAAACUCUUUAUCACUUGAAAUGAUGCAUUAGGUGAUAGGAGUUAUGUGCUAAACAAUUGCUGCAUUCCCUUCCUUGGAACUGAUUACCAUUCCUUGAUACCUGUUUUACUUAAAGCUUUCUGAUGCUUAGCUUUGCUUUAGAAAACAAAAUGUUUUGUUUUAAACAAAAGAUGAUGCUUCACAUGGGAUGGGAAGUUUUCAAAGAAAAGACUUGAUGGUGAAUCCAUCAUGGCCAUGAUGGGUUCGACUUCUGAAAAGAUGUACCUCUAUUAGGUGCCAAACUUUGGGUUGUAAAUGAUAAAGACGAGACCGGGCAGGUGACUUGCACGAGAAGGAAGUCUCGGUGUAGUGUCUCCGUCUGAGUCAAUUAAGGACCAUGUCGAUGUGGGCCUGCUGACCGAGGACCUUUUAACUGGCCACAUGUCUCAUCAUGGGUAAGCUUUGCCUCGGUCGGAUCAAUACCAGAAAGGCCACCACGCAAUGGGAGUGGAGAGAUGGCGAGAGUAGCGUGUACCCUCCGUGGCAUGAGGCUGUAUGGUGGUGUAUCUGUGCUAUCGGUUGGCGUGAACCCGUUCUGGUCUUGAGAAACCCGGUGGCGAGUUGAUAUAUGCAAGGGUUAAGUGCUACAUAUGUCGUAUGGUUGGAGAUCCCCAGCUGGGUAUUAAUCGAUUCGGAUCGCCGUUAUUUCUCGGACAUGAAGACUUGGUCACUGACUUACACGUAGAAAUCUAGUGAACUGAAGGGGUGAUAAAAGAUGGCUAGUGUAGGCUAAGUGCCUGGACUAGGAUAGAAAGAACUCUAGAUAUAGGUAAUGACUUAACCUGAUAAUAAAACUAGUUUUUUAAAGAUCCACUGUUAGUAAGCUUUUCUGGAAACAAAGUCUUUGAUCAUUGAUCAGCUUUACCUUGAAUCCCAUAAGCCAGCAUAUCCUUGAGAGUCUUUUUCCUUUGUCGGGUAAGACUUGCGAAAGUACACUCCGUACUCAGGGUUUUCGAACCCAUAUUGUUGUAGGUGAUGAAACAGCCGAGUUUUGUUGUUUCUGCUCGAAGGUGGUGCCAAAGCAGGAGGAAAAUCAGUAAACUUGUUGGCGGGAGGAUGUUUUACUUUCCUGUUAUGUAAUAAUAAAUUAUGCACUCAUACACCUGAUAUUGUAAUAAUACUCUCUCUAUAUUUCAUGAAUGUAAAUUAAGUUAUUGUAAUCCGCUUCCGCUGAUUCUUUACUUCGAUUAUGUGUGUAAUGUCUG